CCGGGAUUCCAGCAGAUGCCUGGUGAAUCUGGGAUUUGGCAAGUCUCGGAGAGACUGAAGACCCACAGGUCAUACAAACUGGGUAGACCUGGAAACUGAGGCUUGGAAAGCAUUAGCACCUAGACCACCGAACAGAGUAGAGAGGGGUCCAGAGGUCUGGGAUCAGGUCUGCAUAGUUUCCACUGCCCACCUUCUUUCCAGCACUCACUACAGGUGGGGCAAAGAGGGACUGAAAGCGCUCAGAUCUUAGCUGCCUUGGCUGUGACUUCAG